CGUCUCCACAGUUUUUCUGGGCGGUGACUCGGAAGCCAAGAGGAAGGAAAGUGAGUGGGAGGCGGAAGAAAGGAAGGCGCUUCCUGAAGAAAGCUGCAGAAAAAAAGAAAUUUGUAAGAUCAUGCCUUCACCUGAAGAGAAACUAUUCUCAGGCUGAUUCAAGAAGUCACUGGACAAGGAUUACACUCCUGUCAUAUGGAAGCCAGAUGUCAUUACGCAAGUAAAGCAAUACCCAUAGACCUGAUUUUGAAGAGAACUACUUCCUCACACAUCCUCCAAGAUGCUCUGUUUGUUCAGUGUUCACCAGGAUAACUAAGCUCUUCUGGUGUUGACACCAUCCAGCUCCAGCAUUCUGUCAGGAGGCCGAUCAGAUGACUGGGAAACAUGGAGCAGUGUUUGCCAUGUGCACUCAUGCCAAGCCCAGCAAUACACCUGGCUCUGCCUCAAAUAUAUCCAUGUGUUACUGCAGACACAUAAUGAUAAAAUAACAGUUCACAAAACACUGAAGAUGAACUACAACCAUCUUAGCUAUCUGAAUGAUGUUUUAGCCCCUACAGAAAUAAGACAUUUACAAGUAAAUAUGUUUUGAAUGUUUUCUUCAAUACAGGCACAACAAUAAAAGCUUAUUUUUAUUCCAAUAAUUGAAAUGUGUUGUUAAAAAUAAAUUCAUGUUUGUAUUCCCACCUUGCAUUGUUUUUGACUCAUUGUAAGGGCUUAAUCUAUAUUUGUUUAAUUAUAAUCUUGCAUUUUGUUAUGGUUACACACAAAUUGAAAUCCUACUCAGAUACACUAAGUCAGUGUUUAGAAUAAACUUUGUGUACUGCGU